rnacentral:tRNA from 1 species
GGAGAGUUGCCGGAGUGGUCGAACGGGGCGGUCUCGAAAACCGUUGUGCCUCUUGAGGUACCAAGGGUUCGAAUCCCUUACUCUCCG